rnacentral:rRNA from 1 species
AGUGAACGCUGGCGGUAGGCCUAACACAUGCAAGUCGAACGGCAGCACAGUAAGAGCUUGCUCUUACGGGUGGCGAGUGGCGGACGGGUGAGGAAUACAUCGGAAUCUACUUUUUCGUGGGGGAUAACGCAGGGAAACUUACGCUAAUACCGCAUACGACCUACGGGUGAAAGCAGGGGAUCUUCGGACCUUGCGCGAUUGAAUGAGCCGAUGUCGGAUUAGCUAGUUGGCGGGGUAAAGGCCCACCAAGGCGACGAUCCGCAGCUGGUCUGAGAGGAUGAUCAGCCACACUGGAACUGAGACACGGUCCAGACUCCUACGGGAGGCAGCAGUGGGGAAUAUUGGACAAUGGGCGCAAGCCUGAUCCAGCCAUACCGCGUGGGUGAAGAAGGCCUUCGGGUUGUAAAGCCCUUUUGUUGGGAAAGAAAAGCAGCAGGUUAAUACCCCGCUGUUCUGACGGUACCCAAAGAAUAAGCACCGGCUAACUUCGUG